UACGAAGGGUGCUAGCGUUGUUCGGAAUCAUUGGGCGUAAAGCGUACGUAGGCGGUUUAGUAAGUCGAUUGUGAAAGCCCUGAGCUUAACUCGGGAAUUGCAAUCGAAACUGCUUUGCUUGAAUUUGGUUGGGGAUGGCGGAAUUCCUAGUGUAGGGGUGAAAUCCGUAGAGAUUAGGAGGAACAUCAGUGGCGAAGGCGGCCAUCUAAGCCAAUAUUGACGCUAAGGUACGAAAGCGUGGGGAGCAAAC
rnacentral:rRNA from 1 species